GACGAACGCUGGCGGCGUGCUUAACACAUGCAAGUCGAACGGAAAGGCCCUUCGGGGUACUCGAGUGGCGAACGGGUGAGUAACACGUGGGUGAUCUGCCCUGCACUUUGGGAUAAGCCUGGGAAACUGGGACUAAUACCGAAUAGGACCACGCGCUUCAUGGUGUGUGGUGGAAAGCUUUUGCGGUGUGGGAUGGGCCCGCGGCCUAUCAGCUUGUUGGUGGGGUAAUGGCCUACCAAGGCGACGACGGGUAGCCGGCCUGAGAGGGUGACCGGCCACACUGGGACUGAGAUACGGCCCAGACUCCUACGGGAGGCAGCAGUGGGGAAUAUUGCACAAUGGGCGCAAGCCUGAUGCAGCGACGCCGCGUGAGGGAUGACGGCCUUCGGGUUGUAAACCUCUUUCAAUAGGGACGAAGCGCAAGUGACGGUACCUAUAGAAGAAGCACCGGCCAACUACGUG
rnacentral:rRNA from 1 species